rnacentral:rRNA from 1 species
CACUGCCGAGAAAAGCCUCUAGAUAGAAAAUAGGUGCCCGUACCGCAAACCGACACAGGUAGUCAAGAUGAGAAUUCUAAGGUGAGCGAGCGAACUCUCGUUAAGGAACUCGGCAAAAUGACCCCGUAACUUCGGGAGAAGGGGUGCUCUUUAGGGUUAACGCCCAGAAGAGCCGCAGUGAAUAGGCCCAAGCGACUGUUUAUCAAAAACACAGGUCUCUGCUAAACCGUAAGGUGAUGUAUAGGGGCUGACGCCUGCCCGGUGCUGGAAGGUUAAGAGGAGUGGUUAGCUUCUGCGAAGCUACGAAUCGAAGCCCCAGUAAACGGCGGCCGUAACUAUAACGGUCCUAAGGUAGCGAAAUUCCUUGUCGGGUAAGUUCCGACCCGCACGAAAGGCGUAACGAUUUGGGCACUGUCUCAACGAGAGACUCGGUGAAAUCAUAG